GAGUGAAUAGCUCCUGGGCUCAGGCGUGGAAGGUAGAAGGGCAUUUCGGUGCGAAGUGCCUGGGACAACUCAAGUCUCAUCAUGCUACAUGAAAGCUUCUGUGGCCGAUGUUGCCCUUUGGGUGAGUGAGCAAGGUGAAAGUGGGCAGGUUGAGAAGGUUCCUUACAGCUGAGUGCUCUGGGGUUGCCUAGACUGUGAGCACAGCACCUAUUUACCAUCCUUAGAAAUCUGGGGGUGUAGGAAGGCAGCCUGGAGGCUGUAAGGGCUCAGUUCUUCCCUGUCUCCAUUCUGGCUCUUGGGUUGAUAGUACCCUCCUAGCACUCAUCCUCUCGAAAGAAGAAGCCCCUUCCCUUUUCCUCUGGGUGCUAUUGAUGGAGAAUUUGCUCUCUUGACUCCACAUCUCCCUAUAAUGACAGAGAGUCCCCAGAGAGUGGGCUGGGAGAUGGGAGAGAGUCGAAUACUUACUAAACACCCUCUUAUGUUCUAGACCUCACUCAGCAGGAGCCAAAACAAGAUCCAAGGAGAAGGGGACCUGACAAAGUGCAAGGGACAAAGUAUCCACGUUGAAACUUGAGCUCUUUUUUUCCUCUUUACUAUAGAAAAAAUGCACAGGAUGGUUACAUGCUUGUAUAGUAGUCAUGAAGUCUUGACUUUUGGGUUUUGUUAUGAGACAGGAUCUCUCCUGCAGCCCAAGCUGGCCCGAAACUUGCUAUGUAGCAUAGAUGACCUUGGACUUCUGGUUCUCCUGACUCUGCUUCUCAAGUGCUGGGCUCACAGGGACAUCCAGUAGAGAUUUGAGUCAUCAGUAAAGAGUGUCAGUUGUCACAGAAGUCUAUUCUCUGUUUGUAUGACCACAGAGAGCCUUCUAUUCUAACACCACUUCCCAGCAUCCUGGUCAGGUGUGGCCAGUGGAAGCAAGAGCCCAGUGAGGCUGCUCAAGCCCUAGGGCAU
rnacentral:lncRNA from 1 species